rnacentral:rRNA from 1 species
CCUACGUGAGGCAGCAGUGAGGAAUAUUGGUCAAUGGACGCGAGUCUGAGCCAGCCAAGUAGCGUGAAGGAUGACUGCCCUCUGGGUUGUAAACUUCUUUUAUAUGGGAAUAAAAUGUUCCACGUGUGGGAUUUUGUAUGUACCAUAUGAAUAAGGAUCGGCUAAAUCCGUGCCAGCAGCCGCGGUUAUACGGAGGAUCCGAGCGUUAUCCGGAUUUAUUGGGUUUAAAGGGAGAGUAGGUGGAUUGUUAAGUCAGUUGUGAAAGUUUGCGGCUCAACCGUAAAAUUGCAGUUGCAACUGGCAGUCGUGAGUACAGUAGAGGUGGGCGGAAUUCGUGGUGUAGCGGUGAAAUGCAUAGAUAUCACGCAGAACUCCGAGUGCGAAGGCAGCAUACCGGCGCGCAACGGACGCUCAUGCACGAAAGCGUGGGUAUCGAACAGGAUUAGAUACCCUAGUAGUC